AGAACCUGAAACCGUGUACGUACAAGCAGUAGGAGCACCUUCGUGGUGUGACUGCGUACCUUUUGUAUAAUGGGUCAGCGACUUAUAUUCAGUGGCAAGGUUAACCGUAUAGGGGAGCCGUAGCGAAAGCGAGUCUUAACUGGGCGCUCAGUCUCUGGAUAUAGACCCGAAACCGGGUGAUCUAGCCAUGGGCAGGUUGAAGGUUGAGUAACAUCAACUGGAGGACCGAACCGACUAAUGUUGAAAAAUUAGCGGAUGACUUGUGGCUAGGGGUGAAAGGCCAAUCAAACUCGGAGAUAGCUGGUUCUCCCCGAAAGCUAUUUAGGUAGCGCCUCGGACGAAUACUACUGGGGGUAGAGCACUGUUAAGGCUAGGGGGUCAUCCCGACUUACCAACCCUUUGCAAACUCCGAAUACCAGUAAGUACUAUCCGGGAGACACACGGCGGGUGCUAACGUCCGUCGUG
rnacentral:rRNA from 1 species